rnacentral:rRNA from 1 species
CUUGCUUCUCUUGAGAGCGGCGGACGGGUGAGUAAUGCCUAGGAAUCUGCCUGGUAGUGGGGGAUAACGUUCGGAAACGGACGCUAAUACCGCAUACGUCCUACGGGAGAAAGCAGGGGACCUUCGGGCCUUGCGCUAUCAGAUGAGCCUAGGUCGGAUUAGCUAGUUGGUGGGGUAAUGGCUCACCAAGGCGACGAUCCGUAACUGGUCUGAGAGGAUGAUCAGUCACACUGGAACUGAGACACGGUCCAGACUCCUACGGGAGGCAGCAGUGGGGAAUAUUGGACAAUGGGCGAAAGCCUGAUCCAGCCAUGCCGCGUGUGUGAAGAAGGUCUUCGGAUUGUAAAGCACUUUAAGUUGGGAGGAAGGGUUGUAGAUUAAUACUCUGCAAUUUUGACGUUACCGACAGAAUAAGCACCGGCUAACUCUGUGCCAGCAGCCGCGGUAAUACAGAGGGUGCAAGCGUUAAUCGGAAUUACUGGGCGUAAAGCGCGCGUAGGUGGUUUGUUAAGUUGGAUGUGAAAUCCCCGGGCUCAACCUGGGAACUGCAUUCAAAACUGACUGACUAGAGUAUGGUAGAGGGUGGUGGAAUUUCCUGUGUAGCGGUGAAAUGCGUAGAUAUAGGAAAGGAACACCAGUGGCGAA